UCAUUAGAUGGCUGAAAGUAAGCAAUGGAAUUUUAAACCAUACCAUAGUAAUUGACACCUACUUCUAAUGAA
rnacentral:tRNA from 1 species